AUGCGGGGCCGUAGGCGUGUACGCGGCAUCGAGCCGACGCCUUCUCCGUCCUUGCCCCCACCACCGCUGCCGCCCAUGACCGAGGAGGAGGAGGCCCGCCUCAUUAGGCGGGUCAUGGAGGACUCAGUGUCCACCCAUGACGAGCGGCAAUGGGAUGGCAUGGAAACCGUGUUGGCCCUCUCUGUGGCCGGCGACUUGGCCAUCCCGGAGUUGGAACUCGACGUCAAGGAGGAGGUGCAGCAGGAGGAGGUUGUGGAGGAGCUGCCCGUCGCCGUGUGGAACCCACGUCUGGUGGGCCAGCAGUGGAGCUGGUCGUGCCCCGUGCCGGAGAUGGCCGACUCGGUGGGCGUAGGCCCAUGGUCAGCCACGUCGCCGCGGUCACCGUACCAGAGCAGGAGCAAGAGCCACGUGAGGAGGUGGUGCAGGCGCCGCUGGCGCAUCCGGUCUGGCAGGGGCCGCCGGCACAUCUUUGGCAGCCACCUCCCUACGUCGACCUCAUCAGUGACGACGACGAGUAGGACGGUGGCUCUUGAUGACGACGGCGCCCUCUGGAGACGGGUCUAUUUCAAGUUUUUUUAA
rnacentral:rRNA from 1 species